rnacentral:rRNA from 1 species
GACGUAGGGCGCGAGCGUUUGUCCGGAUUUAUUGGGCGUAAAGAGCUCGUAGGCGGCUCGUCGCGUCGACCGUGAAAACCCGCGGCUUAACUGCGGGCUUGCGGUUGAUACGGGCGGGCUAGAGUUCGGUAGGGGAGACUGGAAUUCCUGGUGUAGCAGUGAAAUGCGUAGAUAUCAGGAGGAAUACCGAUGGCGAAGGCAGGUCUCUGGGCUGACACUGACGCUCAUGCACGAAAGCGUGGGGAGCAAACAGG